AAUAGACACCUUAUCUUUGG
rnacentral:miRNA from 1 species